GAUGAACGCUGGCGGCGUGCCUAACACAUGCAAGUCGGGCGAACAAACCAGGAGAUUGUGUUUCUGGCGUUAGCGGCGGACGUAUGAGUAACACAUGUGUAACCGACCGAUGAACCACAGAUAACUACGGCAAACCAUACCUCAUACCGUAAAAUAUAUUAGACGGCAUCGUUCAGUAGUGAAAGACGGUUUUGCUUACACAGAUAGAUGGACACGAGCCGCAUAAGGUAGUUGGUAAGGUAACGGCUUACCAAGGCGACGAUCCGUAGCCGACCGGAGCGGGUGAUAGGACACACUGGGACAGAGACACGGUCCAGACUGCUACGGGGGGCAGCAGUAGGGACUCUUGCGCAAUGGGAGAAAGCCUGACGGAGCAACGCCGCGUGAGUGAUGAAGGUAUUCGCAUCGUAAAACUCUGUUAUUAGGGAAGAAGAACUGUGUAAGUAACUAUGCACGUCUUGACGGUACCUAAUGAGAAAGCCACGGCUAACUACGUG
rnacentral:rRNA from 1 species